rnacentral:rRNA from 1 species
UACGAAGGGGGCUAGCGUUGCUCGGAAUCACUGGGCGUAAAGCGCACGUAGGCGGAUUGCUAAGUCAGGGGUGAAAUCCUGGAGCUCAACUCCAGAACUGCCUUUGAUACUGGCGAUCUCGAGUCCGGGAGAGGUGAGUGGAACUGCGAGUGUAGAGGUGAAAUUCGUAGAUAUUCGCAAGAACACCAGUGGCGAAGGCGGCUCACUGGCCCGGUACUGACGCUGAGAUACGAAAGCGUGGGGAGCAAACAGG